AACGAACGCUGGCGGCAUGCCUAACACAUGCAAGUCGAACGAGACCUUCGGGUCUAGUUGCGCACGGGUGCGUAACGCGUCGGAGCCGUCCCUCAUGUUCGGCAUACCUCUCCGACAGGGGUGAUAAUGCCGGAUAAUGUCUUCUGACCAAAGAUUUAUCGCCUUUGUAUGGGCGCGCGUUGGAUUAGCUCGUUGGUAGAGUAAAAGCCUACCACGGCGACGAUCCAUAGCUGGGCUGUGAGGAUGGUCAGCCACACCCAGACGGAGACGCGGCCGAGACUCCUACGGGAGGGAGCAAUGGGGAAUAGUGGACAAUGGGGGAAGGGAAGAAGGAGCAAGGCCGCGUAAGCGAUGAAGUUGGGAAGGAAGUAAAGCUCUUUUACCCGGGGUGAUAAUGACGGUACCGGGAGAAUAAGCUCCGGCUAACUCCGUG
rnacentral:rRNA from 1 species